GAAACUGCGAAUGGCUCAUUAAAUCAGUUAUCGUUUAUUUGAUAGUACCUUACUACAUGGAUACCUGUGGUAAUUCUAGAGCUAAUACAUGCUAAAAACCCCGACUUCAGGAAGGGGUGUAUUUAUUAGAUAAAAAACCAACGCCCUUCGGGGCUCCUUGGUGAAUCAUAAUAACUUAACGAAUCGCAUGGCCUUGCGCCGGCGAUGGUUCAUUCAAAUUUCUGCCCUAUCAACUUUCGAUGGUAGGAUAGUGGCCUACCAUGGUGGCAACGGGUAACGGGGAAUUAGGGUUCGAUUCCGGAGAGGGAGCCUGAGAAACGGCUACCACAUCCAAGGAAGGCAGCAGGCGCGCAAAUUACCCAAUCCCGAUACGGGGAGGUAGUGACAAUAAAUACUGAUACGGGGCUCUUUUGGGUCUCGUAAUCGGAAUGAGAACAAUUUAAAUCCCUUAACGAGGAACAAUUGGAGGGCAAGCCUGGUGCCAGCAGCCGCGGUAAUUCCAGCUCCAAUAGCGUAUAUUAAAGUUGUUGCAGUUAAAAAGCUCGUAGUUGAACCUUGGGUCUGGCUGGCCGGUCCGCCUCAC
rnacentral:rRNA from 1 species